rnacentral:lncRNA from 1 species
CUUUUAAUUAUUUUCUCUUGCUUAUGCAUAUAAUUUAGGAAUAACUAUAUUAGUUUGGUCCCUUUAGUUUCCUUUACAGGGUUUUUAAGGUGAAGAUGAGGUAUUUCAAUAACUCUCCUUCUCUUCCCUACCAAAUCCUCGAUCAAUGUUAUCUCAAAUUUCUAUCCUUUAAUUUUAGCUUUUAUUUAGUUUUCUGCACCUAUGUAG